AGAUUGAAGGGGGCUGCUCCUAGUACGAGAGGACCGGAGUGGACGAACCUCUGGUGUUCGGGUUGUGUCGCCAGACGCAUUGCCCGGUAGCUAAGUUCGGAAUCGAUAACCGCUGAAAGCAUCUAAGCGGGAAGCGAGCCCUGAGAUGAGUCUUCCCUGAUACUUUAAGUAUCCUAAAGGGUUGUCGGAGACUACGACGUUGAUAGGUCAGGUGUGUAAGUGCUGUGAGGCAUUGAGCUAACUGAUACUAAUUGCCCGUGAGGCUUAACCAUACAACACCCAAGGGGUUU
rnacentral:rRNA from 1 species